CUGUGAGGGAGGUCUAGAGCUUACAGGUAGAUCUGGAGUGUUACUGUGAGGGAGGUCUAAAGCUUACAGGUAGAUAGGCAGUGUUACUGUGAGGGAGGUCUAGAGCUUACAGGUAGAUCUGGAGUGUUACUGUGAGGGAGGUCUAGAGCUUACAGGUAGAUCUGGAGUGUUACUGUGAGGGAGGUCUUACAGGUAGAUCUGGAGUGUUACUGUGAGGGAGGUCUAAAGCUUACAGGUAGAUCUGGUGUGUUACUGUGAGGGAGGUCUAGAGACUACAGGUAGAUAGGGAGUGUUAUUGUGAGGGAGGUCUAGAGCUUACAGGUAGAUAGGGAGUGUUACUGUGAGGGAGGUCUAGAGCUUACAGGUAGAUAGGGAGUGUUACUGUGAGGGAGGUCUAGAGCUUACAGGUAGAUCUGGAGUGUUACUGUGAGGCGAGUUUCUAGAGCUUACAGGUAGAUAGGGAGUUUUACUGUGAGGGAGGUCUUACAGGUAGAUCUGGAGUGUUAAUGUGAGGGAGGUCUAGAGCUUACAGGUAGGUAGAUCUGGAGUGUUUCUGUGAGGGAGGUCUAGAGACUACAGGUAGAUAGGGAGUGUUAUUGUGAGGGAGGUCUAGAGCUUACAGGUAGAUAGGGAGUGUUACUGUGAGGGAGGUCUAGAGCUUACAGGUAGAUAGGGAGUGUUACUGUGAGGGAGGUCUAGAGCUUACAGGUAGAUAGGGAGUGUUACUGUGAGGGAGGUCUAGAGCUUACAGGUAGGUAGAUCUGGAGUGUUUCUGUGAGGGAGGUCUAGAGACUACAGGUAGAUAGGGAGUGUUAUUGUGAGGGAGGUCUAGAGCUUACAGGUAGAUAGGGAGUGUUACUGUGAGGGAGGUCUAGAGCUUACAGGUAGAUAGGGAGUGUUACUGUGAGGGAGGUCUAGAGCUUACAGGUAGAUCUGGU